rnacentral:rRNA from 1 species
UGGGGAAUAUUGCACAAUGGGGGAAACCCUGAUGCAGCGACGCCGCGUGAGCGAAGAAGGCCUUCGGGUCGUAAAGCUCUUUUAUGAGGGAAGAUAAUGACGGUACCUCAAGAAAAAGCCCCGGCUAACUCCGUGCCAGCAGCCGCGGUAAUACGUAGGGGGCUAGCGUUGUCCGGAAUCACUGGGCGUAAAGGGUUCGCAGGCGGAAUAACAAGUCAGAUGUGAAAGGCAUGGGCUCAACCCAUGUAAGCAUUUGAAACUGUAAUUCUUGAGAAGUGGAGAGGUAAGUGGAAUUCCUAGUGUAGCGGUGAAAUGCGUAGAUAUUAGGAGGAAUACCUGUGGCGAAGGCGACUUACUGGACACAAAUCUGACGCUGAGGAACGAAAGCGUGGGUAGCAAACAGG